CCUGCGCAGAUAUUUUUCCCACGCCCCCUCUCUCCCUCGUCACUCCUUCGCGGUCCAGAUCCACCUCGUCGUGCGCCCGCGUCGCCGGCCAUCUCGUCCUACCGCGGCCACCAUGCCUCCCCACACGCCUAGGACCGCGUCCGUCCGCUUCGUCGUCCUCCUCUGCAUCAACUGGUGCCACCCGUUGGAGCUCCUCACGCUGCAGCGCCGGAUCGAAGCUUCUUUCUCCUCGGGUCGCCGAGGAACCACGACGACGCCAGCCACCUCUGCUGCUCCUAAGCCACUCGAUGGGCCUCCUUGCGCCUGCUCGGUGAGCACCACCCCGUUCCCCCUUUCCCUCGCCGCCGUAGUCGCCGUAGCACCGUUACCCGCGAGCUUCGGCUCCGCAGUCCGCCGUGGCCGGAGCUCUCCUCCCGCACGCGCUCGCAUACCGUCCGCCCCUGCGUCCACGCUGCAGUACGCGCCCUGCAGCGCCUCUUCCACGGCCCAAAUCUGACGCCCCGCGCCCGCCCACUGUUGCCUACUGCCGCUGCGUUGCUGCAGUCUGCACUGGUCGCCGCCGGAGCCGUGGCCGCGCUCACCCCGUGCCACUGCUCGCGCCGCGGCCGCCCACGCCUCGCGUCCGUCCCACCCUGCGCCCAGCAUGCGCAGCCGUGUGCAUGCCGCUUGCUUCGCUGCUCCCGCAGCCGCUGUCUGCUAUACUACACGGCUACAGUAACAUUCAGUUACUGUAGCAGUAGCUAGCUUUUGUAUUUCGACAAUGACUAGCCUUCUAAACUGCCACUAAACAGUGAUAAGACAAGUCCUAACAUGGGUAAAAAUUAUAUGAACGGAAAGUAGACGUAACAAGCCUCAUUUUGUUCCAUUGGACCUGCUUUAGAUAAUGCAUGGAUUAAAUCUUACAAAUAUCACAAAAUGCUAUCUUGUGUUAAAAGGAAUAGAGUUACUCCCUAGCAUUGUGUGUGUGCGCGUGGGCUGUGCCACAGGCCACAGCCGUGUGUGGCCGGCCUAGUUUAAUUAGGUCUAAACUAAUUUAGUUUAGACUAGAAAAAGUGCCCGUGCGUUGCAACGGGAGAAAUCCUUGAACGCUCCUAGCUACCCAUUUAAUGAUGCUCAUACUGUCCAUCUAUUCACGACGAACCUGAUCAAUCCCACGACGAUGUGCUUUUCAUCAUAAGCACAACGCAGGUGCGUCGCUACAGAGUAAACGGUGAAGAGUGAGUCAUCUUCCUCGUGUGUUGGUGACGGGUGCCAGCGGUUUUAGCGCGGCGGGUUUGCGUCAUGCGGCAUGUGGUGGAAAUCGUGAGGUCUUCCUUGUUGAUUUGGAGUAUAUAGUAAAAAGACGGUCAUAUUGAGCUUGCCAUGAUCAUACUGGGCACUAUCAAACUGUAGUCACAUUGGCAUUAGAAACAUAUAGAUGACUGGAUGCAAAGGUAACAGAAAAUACACCGAUCAAAAUAGCUACUUUUUUUUAUGUUAAUGAGUUGCUGCAGUUCAAUGAUAGCAUAGCAGAUCUUGUUAAUAUGAGAAUUUUACUUGACUAACCGCUUCCUUGCCCUGCUGCUUUAGUAAAGCAUGUUGAUGGAUCGCACCUCAGAGCCCUUGACGACCGACCAUGUUCCUACAUCCUGUGCAAUUUUGAUCAGUCAAAAAGUGGAAAAAAGACAUAGUAGUCUAAUAGAUUGGUCCACCGUCAUCUUAAUCUGCAUGCAUGUAAGGUCAACCAAUUAAUGCAAGGAUGUUGUUCAUGUACAUUUUACAUGAGUCCAUGGUAUAUAAGAAUCUUGCCGACAUCGGGCUCCUUCUAGACGAAGACGGAGUCGGGCAGCGCUACAACGACAGACGGACAUUAGACUGACUCGGACUCGGUGGCAGGAGAUGCCAUGGCUGCCUCUUGAGGCCUGAGACGCGUAUGGAGGAGUUGCUGGCUGCCCUGACCUGUGAAGGCGGUGGUCCGGAGACGAUCGGUGCGCCGACUCAAUUGAGACAAUGGCCUACAAAAGAUGAACCCCGACCGCAUCAAAUAGGACGGGCGAUAGGCGACUACAGCCUCAAUGGGCGAUAAGGAUUGGAUGGAUGUGUUGUAGCCCAUGAAAUAGCCGGCCAAUACACGGAGUACAUAAAAACAGAGGAAGUAUAAGAUAAUGUUACACGUUCAUUUUCGUGCAGUACAUAGAAACUAUUUUUUAAUUGGCCUCAUGGCUACCGCGCUUAGAGCAAGAGAAGUGUAGAUUCGACACCAGCAAGCUGUUUCCUUUAAUUAGCUCCUCACCAAAUAUUUUUUUGAACACAAUAUAGACGAAAGCGCUCAUAUAUACGCGCAUACACUUUUCUAUGAACGCACACACGCACAUCCUAUCCUAUGAGCACCAAAUAUUGAGACAUAUAAUUAGCAUCCAUUCUCUCUCUUUCCUUUGUCCUUCCUUCUCUGUUUUUCAUGCAAUUAGCAUCUAUUUCCUUUCUCCUUGUUGCCUUCUUUGUUUUUCAUGCAAUCUUUCCCUCGCAUGGGAAGGGUGGCGACCAAGGAACAAACCGGGACUCUUUGGCAUCGCCCUCGCGUAGCCUCUGAGUACCCGGGGCUGUGCUCGUCGUCGACGCUGGCGGACAGCGACGGAGGUGGUUCCAUGUGAAAGAUGACCAUGGCACCGACAACGACGGGGCGAGCUCCGCCGUGGGAUAAGCAUAGACGUUGAGCAAAGCCGACAUGUGCAAGCGGGGCAGCGGGUGUCGCGCUGGCGGGGUGCGGGGAGGGGUCAAAGACUAUGAUGGAGGACCAGCGGCCGGGAGGCGGCGAGCCUGUUGGUGUUGCAGGAAUGCGGAAUCGCUAGAGAAUGGGAGAAGGUAUUGCGUGGUGUGGUAGUAGACAUGGAGGAUGGAAGGCGCUGUAAAGUCUGGCGGGGAAUGCGUGCGACGGUCCUUUUAUGAUGUCGCAUCGUGUGCAAUCAAAUCAGACCACGUCCUAAUUUGAUUAAAAAAAGAGAGAUCACGUCCUAUUUGUCUAGCAUAUUUUCCAUACAAAAACACAGUAAGUUGAAUGGCGAUUUUCUGGGAUGGAUAGGAACAAACUCAAAUCAUCAGCACGGACUCUCCUUUAAUAGUAACGAUUUAAUUGUUAAGAAAGUACGGAUCAUUGUGUUAGGAAAGUUGAGAUUUGGACCUAAUUAGCAGAAAACUGGAUUUUAUUGUUUGGUAAUGUGCCAUUGGUUCCUUCAGGUUUGUAACGUGGCUAGUUAGGAAAGUUGAAAAGAUUAUGAAAGUUUUUAUUGGAAGGGUACAAAACCAAUAUGAAGGGGCGGUGGCGGAGGUGGGUCGAAAAAAAUAGGACGAGAUAAAAGCGGACAAAACAAUAGUGGACACAAGCCUACCAACUGAUAAAACAACAUUAAGCAAUAAAUUAAUCCAUUAGGAGUAGAUUUUCAAUAUUUCAUUCACUCUUAAUUAUUACAUUUGAUAAUGUAAAAAUAACAUCAAGUAAUAAAAUAAUCGGUGUUCAUCCGAAUUUUUUUAAUCAACGCUAGGACGCAUAUAGCCAUCCAACAGCACUCGGUGCAAUUUUUCUAGUGUUUGGUUUGUGCGACGCUGGAUCGUGACGGCGCUCUCGACUUGCACACGCGUCAACUGGCUGCCACGUGCUUUCGUGGGACCCGCCCACCGCCCCCGGCGCAUCCGCUUUUCCUUGCCAGUCGAGUCGUUCGACCCCAUUUUCCUCAUCGCAGCUGGUCCUCCUCAUUUCCCCCAUUUUCCUCAUCGCAGCUGGUCCUCCUCCUCUCCUCUCCCCAUCCACCUCACAUCACCACGCAGCUCUGCUCUUCCUAUCCAUCCAGCAAACGCACACAAAUGGCUUGGCGUUGCCCCCCGCCACCCCCAACCUGGAGUGCGCGCGGCCGUCAAGACCAGAGGACGCCAUGGGCGCCUGCCUUGGAGCUCCCCUGCCAUGGACCUGAUCUGGCCGUCAACUCGCCACCCCAUGCGUGCUCCGGAUCCGGCCGAUCCCGCGCCGCUCAUGCCCUGGUGGCCCUGCCGACAUCGUCGCCUAGGUGAGCAGCAGCUGCACUGCGACGUUGCCCGCCUCCUGUCUCCCUCUCUAUCUCUCCCCUAUCUCUCUCUGAACCCUCUCUAUUUUCUUCAACAGGAAGACCACCGUGCCCGCUGCAGGAGCUUCGAGCCGGAUCUGGCCCCUCUCCGACCUCCCUCGCCGUCCUUCAUCCGUUCCCGAUAUCCUCCCGGCGCCAGGAGCUCAGGCGAGCGCCGCCACAAGACCCUGCCUCCUCUGCCCCGUAGCCCGCCAUGGAGGUCGCCGCCUCUCCCGUCUCGAUCCGUCUGCGGCCGGAUCCACGGCGGAGCAGCCGAGAUCCGCCGCCCGUUCCGCGACGCCUCGGCCCGCCAAGGCCAGCGCCGAGGCCGACAAGGCGCGCAGGAAGGCCAAGGCCCUCACCAAGCAGCGGGAGGACUUGCGGGCUAGGCUUGCCUACCGCAAGCACGCCCGCGAGCUCACCUCCAUGCCGGCCAAGGCCACCGCUGCGACGCCAGUUUUUUUACGAAUAGUUUCCCAGAUCCACUUAAUAGGGACUGCGGGUUGAUUUCGCGGAAACAGAGGGACUUUUUUGCAAAAGUGACGACGACGUACGACCAGAAGCACUCCGUGCUUUAUUAGUAGGGAAAGAUUAGUUGGUUAAUUAAUUAGUCUAAGCCUAUUACAUGUGGACCCCGCAUUUAUUUAAGCUAGUUUUAGUUAUUUGUUUAGGUAUAGCUAUUGACAUGUGGGCCACCAUCUCCCCUUUUGACCAGUCAAAUUGACUUGGUCAAUUCGAUUAAAUAAAUGCAGAAAAAUCCAGAAAAUAUUUAAAGCUUUGAAAAAUCAUAUAAAAUAAUCCGUAACUUGGAUCGAAAUAAUUUAUAUAUAAAAGAUGACCACAAAAAUUAGACGAAUCCGACUAUGCCACUCACUUACCUACCACACACCUCCAGCAUGAUGAACAUGGAACUUUUCCCUCCGUUUCAUCUGACCGAUAAUUUCCCGGAGCUGGAAAAUACAUUCGAAUAUUUUCCCGCUCCGACCGACAUGUGCAGUACUGCGUUAGGUCACCCCUAGCACCGCGUAUUGCCAUGUUAUGCUUUGUGUUACAUUUGAUUGCUCUGUUAUUUAUUGUGUUCCCCCUCCGUUACUUCUUUCCGGUAGACUCUGAGACCGGUGGCGAUGUCCGUGUGUUCGACUACACCGAAGAUGACCCCUCCUUGCC
rnacentral:lncRNA from 1 species